AGGUUAAGUUAUUAAGGGCGCAUGGCGAAUGCCUUGGCACUAGAAGCCGAUGAAGGACGGCACUAACACCGAUAUGCUUCGGGGAGCUGUAAGUAAGCUAUGAUCCGGAGAUUUCCGAAUGGGGAAACCCACUGUUCGUAAUGGGACAGUAUCUUGACGUGAAUACAUAGCGUCUUGAUGGCAGACUCAGGGAACUGAAACAUCUAAGUACCUGAAGGAAGAGAAAGAAAUUUCGAUUCCCUUAGUAGCGGCGAGCGAAAUGGGAAGAGCCCAAACCAAGAGGCUUGCCUCUUGGGGUUGUAGGACACUCAAUACGGAGUUACAAAGGAAUGAGUUAGACGAAGCGGUUUGGAAAGACCCACCGAAGAAGGUAACAGUCCUGUAGUCAAAAGUUCAUUCUCUCCUGAGUGGAUCCUGAGUACGGCGGAACACGUGAAAUUCCGUCGGAAUCUGGGAGGACCAUCUCCCAAGGCUAAAUACUCUCUAGUGACCGAUAGUGAACCAGUACCGUGAGGGAAAGGUGAAAAGCACCCCGGAAGGGGAGUGAAAGAGAUCCUGAAACCAUGUGCCUACAAGUAGUUAGAGCCCGUUAAUGGGUGAUAGCGUGCCUUUUGUAGAAUGAACCGGCGAGUUACGAUUACAUGCAAGGUUAAGUUGAAAAGACGGAGCCGUAGCGAAAGCGAGUCUGAAUAGGGCGAAUGAGUAUGUGGUUGUAGACCCGAAACCAGGUGAUCUACCCAUGUCCAGGGUGAAGGUAAGGUAACACUUACUGGAGGCCCGAACCCACGCACGUUGAAAAGUGCGGGGAUGAGGUGUGGGUAGCGGAGAAAUUCCAAUCGAACUUGGAGAUAGCUGGUUCUCUCCGAAAUAGCUUUAGGGCUAGCCUCGUGAUAGAGAAUCUUGGAGGUAGAGCACUGUUUGAACUAGGGGUCCAUCCCGGAUUACCGAAUUCAGACAAACUCCGAAUGCCAAUGAUUUAUGCACGGGAGUCAGACUGCGAGUGAUAAGAUCCGUAGUCAAAAGGGAAACAGCCCAGACCACCAGCUAAGGUCCCAAAGUAAUUGUUAAGUGGAAAAGGAUGUGACGUUGCUUAGACAACCAGGAUGUUGGCUCAGAAGCAGCCACCAUUUAAAGAGUGCGUAAUAGCUCACUGGUCGAGUGACGCUGCGCCGAAAAUGUAUCGGGGCUAAACAAUUCACCGAAGCUGUGGAUAGACAUCUACGAUGUCUGUGGUAGGAGAGCGUUCUAAGUGCAGUGAAGUCAGACCGGAAGGACUGGUGGAGCGCUUAGAAGUGAGAAUGCCGGUAUGAGUAGCGAAAGAUGGGUGAGAAUCCCAUCCACCGAAUGACUAAGGUUUCCUGAGGAAGGCUCGUCCUCUCAGGGUUAGUCGGGACCUAAGCCGAGGCCGAUAGGCGUAGGCGAUGGAUAACAGGUUGAUAUUCCUGUACCACCUCCCUACCAUUUGAGUAAUGGGGGG
rnacentral:rRNA from 1 species